rnacentral:rRNA from 1 species
UACAGAGGUCUCAAGCGUUGUUCGGAUUCAUUGGGCGUAAAGGGUGCGUAGGCGGCGCGGUAAGUCGGGUGUGAAAUCUCGGAGCUUAACUCCGAAACUGCAUUCGAUACUACCGUGCUUGAGGACUGGAGAGGAGACUGGAAUUUACGGUGUAGCGGUGAAAUGCGUAGAUAUCGUAAGGAAGACCAGUGGCGAAGGCGGGUCUCUGGACAGUUCCUGACGCUGAAGCACGAAGGCCAGGGGAGCAAACGGG